GAGUUUGAUCCUGGCUCAGGAUGAACGCUGGCGGCGUGCCUAAGGUAUGCAAGUCGUGCGGUCGUUCGUGUCUCACUUUCGUUCGGCACAAACUCAAGUUAAAAGUUAAAAAUUAAAAGUUAAAAGUUGUAAUUCAAAAUUCAAAGUUUUUGUUUUCGUAGCUUUAAACUUUUAACUGCAACUUUGCAUUUUGCACUUUGAACUUUAAACUUGAGCGAGUGGCGAGCGGCAGCGAGAUACGAGCGAUAGCGGCGGACGGGUGAGUAACGCGUGGGAACCUACCCUCAACUUGGGAAUAACUCACCGAAAGGUGGGCUAAUACCCAAUAGUCUCGCAAGAGUAAAGCUCUGGCGGUUGAGGAUGGGCCCGCGUCCUAUCAGGUAGUUGGUGGGGUAAUGGCCUACCAAGCCAAUGACGGGUAGCUGGUCUGAGAGGAUGGUCAGCCACAAGGGGACUGAGAACGGCCCCUACACCUACGGGUGGCAGCAAUCGGGAAUAUUGCGCAAUGGACGAAAGUCUGACGCAGCGACGCCGCGUGGAGGAUGAAGCACUUCGGUGUGUAAACUCACAUUAAAAAGUGGCGGCUAACUACGUGCCAGCAGCAGCGGUUAAACGUAGGCCACAAGCGUUAUCCGGAAUCAUUGGGCGUAAAGAGUGCGUAGGCGGCCCGUCGCGUUUUCUGUUAAAUAUCAAGGCUCAACCUUGAGCAUGCGGAGAAUACGGACGGGCUAGAAGCAGGAAGGGGGUGCUGGAAUUCUGCAUGGAGGGGUGAAAUCCGUUGAUAUGCAGAGGAACGCCGAAGGCGAAGGCAAGCAUCUGGGACUGUUUUGACGCUAAGGCACGAAAGCUAGGGGAGCAAAAGGGAUUAGAUACCCCUGUAGUCCUAGCCGUAAACGAUGCUCGCUAAAUGGUUGUCCCGACGUUUCGUCGGGGUGACCGUUGCAGGUAACCCAUUAAGCGAGCCGCCUGGGAAGUACGGCCGCAAGGCUAAAACUCAAAGGAAUUGACGGGGACCCGCACAAGCGGUGGAGCGUGUGGUUUAAUACGAUGAUAACCGUAGAACCUCACCAAGGUUUGACAUGCUGGGAUUAAUUUUGUGAAAGCAAAAGGAUUGCUAUUUAUAGUGUAACCAGUACAGGUGUCGCGUGGCUGUCGUCAGCUCGUGUCGUGAGAUGUUCGGUUAAGUCCGGAAACGAGCGCAACCCCUACUGUCAGUUGUAUCACUCUGACGGAACCGCCUCGGCAACGGGGAGGAAGGUGGGGACGACGUCAAGUCAUCACGGCCUUUAUGCCUUGGGCCACACACGCGCUACAAUGGCCACUACAACGAGUUGCUACCUCGCGAGGGGACGCUAAUCUCUUAAAAGUGGUCUUAGUUCGGAUUGGAGGCUGAAACUCGCCUCCAUGAAGUUGGAAUCGCUAGUAAUCGCCGGUCAGCUAUACGGUGGUGAAUACGUUCUCGGGUCUUGCACAC
rnacentral:rRNA from 1 species